rnacentral:rRNA from 1 species
UACGAAGGGUGCAAGCGUUACUCGGAAUUACUGGGCGUAAAGCGUGCGUAGGUGGUUUGUUAAGUCUGUUGUGAAAGCCCCGGGCUCAACCUGGGAAUGGCAAUGGAUACUGGCAAGCUAGAGUGCGGUAGAGGGUAGUGGAAUUCCCGGUGUAGCGGUGAAAUGCGUAGAGAUCGGGAGGAACACCAGUGGCGAAGGCGGCAUCCUGGACCAAUAUUGACGCUGAGGAGCGAAAGCCAGGGGAGCAAACGGG